AUUGAACGCUGGCGGCAUGCCUUACACAUGCAAGUCGAACGGCAGCACGGGAGCAAUCCUGGUGGCGAGUGGCGAACGGGUGAGUAAUACAUCGGAACGUGCCCAAUCGUGGGGGAUAACGCAGCGAAAGCUGUGCUAAUACCGCAUACGAUCUACGGAUGAAAGCAGGGGACCGCAAGGCCUUGCGCGAAUGGAGCGGCCGAUGGCAGAUUAGGUAGUUGGUGAGGUAAAGGCUCACCAAGCCUUCGAUCUGUAGCUGGUCUGAGAGGACGACCAGCCACACUGGGACUGAGACACGGCCCAGACUCCUACGGGAGGCAG
rnacentral:rRNA from 1 species